UCUUCUCGCAGUUGGGGUCCAGGGUCCAGUAAUUGCCUUUACCUGCAGAAGAAGAAACAGCCCAGUUCAGAAGGUUCGAGCUUUGACGGGCCGUGGUGUGAGCCAGCGAGGAGGUCAGCUUCAGAAAGAUCCCCUGCUGGCCCUUACAGAGGGUCUGAGUCCUCGCCCCCAUUCCACCCUUGACGGGCACUCUGUACCCGAUGGGCCUCCACAGCAGGACUGGGAAGAAAGUGACAAUCCAGAAAGGAGGAGGAAGGGAGCCCUGGGAAAGGCCGAGCCCCGUUAAGGUGAAGGAAGGCCUGCGAGAUGCUAAUGGUGGGACUCCGCCAGCCGCUCUGCCAAGGACAGCGCAGACCACGCCAGGCCCCCAGUUUUACUUCUGAGACCCAUACAGAUUCCUUUUUGGUGCUUCUCAUCUUUGAAUGAGUGUUUUCAAGCCAGGCAUUUGCCCAGCUACAGCACAGAGGUUGUGCCAGGAGAGUGAGUUUGGAUGGGGACUGAAGAAUAUCGAUUGUCCUAUUGCUGGGCAAUCUGCCCUAGAGAGGCAUCUCUGCUUUGAGCAAGCAGGGGGCUUGCCUGGCUCACAGAGGAGCCCAGUAUGUAAAGGCCUUCCUGGCACAAACUUAAUGUUUCUAUCGUUUCGACUGCCUGAGAUCAAGAGUUGCAGACCUGAUCAUCACCAACUGUCUUUCUUCUACUCUGACACUCAUACAAGAAGCAUCUUGCAAAGACACUGUGUCUGCUUGGGUCCUCAUUCAGCACUGCAUCAACUGACACUCUGCAGUGUCACCACAUGAUCAAGGAUGUUCCACCAGAACCCAUCACUCCAAGCAAGGUAUUUCUGGCUUGGUCACUUGAUAUCACAGAGCUCAGCUUACUGCUUAAUAUCUGCAGAGUCCACGCCCUGUCUUGGCCUCUACACUGCAUUCUCCUGCUGCUGAAUUCGGGAGCACACAGAUUCCAGAACACUUGCAUCAAGAUUUGACAUUUAUAUUUGUUUCCCUGCUUGAUGAAGGACUUCAUUUACUUAAUGUUUUCAUCUUGUUGUCGGACAGAUAAUACACAAACAGGAGGAGAUUUUGCAAAAUAAUUCCAUCAUUUUUCAUCUGCCAGAAGAGUAUAGAACUUGUCCCCAAACUCAGAUGGAAUUUCCCCUGCCAAAUAGCUUGUUAAAACUAUACCUUAUCACUGAACUUUUCGUUUGGAAUCAUAAGCCAGACUAAAUAGAAAUUUAGCAAAAUUUCUAAAACUUUCACAAUGUCAAUUCUGUAUUCA
rnacentral:lncRNA from 10 species